AACAAAGACUCCUAGUUUCCCACCCAAUAUCCAGUCUCCAUUUUCUUCCUAACUGAAUGUUGACUUCUUCCCCCUGGGAAACAAGAUAUCAAGGAAAAUGAUGCACCUUGUUUGCCUCCCUUGCAAGUGGGCCUGGCCCAUCCAUCAGAGAAAUGAUGCAACUGAGUCACAGAGAAGUUAAGUAAUCUGCCUGCCGACACUCGGGUCGAUGCCGCCUCAUUCCAUCACUCGGGCAAUGGAGCCAAAGGCCACGUUCACAACCACUAGGCUGUCCCAGCCCCUUGGUAUGAUUUGUCCCUUCCUAAGCUUCAAAGAUAGCCAGGCAGGAGUUAUUUUAUAGAAUGGAAGUAAUUUCUACGGGGCCAAGCAAUAAUAAGGAAAUUGGAAGUCAAGGACUAUCUUCCGAAUGGAGAAGAAGCUCCAUCAACCACAGAAGGAAAUUAUGAUCACUCCUGCCAUCCUGCUCCUUUGUGUAUCCAGGAUGAAGGGGAGAAUUGGAGUCUUGCACAAUGAAAGGACAACAUUGCUGCCAAAACAAUCCAUCGUGACUGUAGACAUAUUUUCCACCCUCAUCCUGCAGGUUUUCUGCCAGUUGUUGGCCCCUCACCAAUUUUGCUCCUGGGCAGUCUGAGGUGGAACAUAAUUUUGUAUAAAACAAAUUAUGCUCAACCUCACUUAUAAUCAGGGAAAUGUGAGUCAAAACCACAAUAAAAUAUCACCUCAUGC
rnacentral:lncRNA from 1 species